GACUAUGGCCAUGCUAUCCUGAACACACUGAUCUCAUCUGAUCUCGGAAGUUAGGCAGGGUCAGGCCUAGUUAAUACUUGGAUGGAAGACAACCUAGGAAGAUCAGGUACUAUAGGUG
ensembl:rRNA 5S_rRNA 5S ribosomal RNA